UUUCAAUUCCUUAUUUCAUAUUAUUUUAAUUAUCCCACUUAAUUCUCAUACACCUCAAUGAAAUAGAUACUCCACUACUACUUUCAUUUCAAAGUGCCUGAUGCAGUUCUUGGACAUAUCAGCUUCUCAAAAAUAUUUCUUGGAUGAAUGAAGAGAAAAAUGAGUUAGGAGAAGUUAAAUGAUUUGCCUCAUCUCCCAUGGCUGGUAAAUUACAGAGCUAGGAUUCAAAUUCAGGUUGGUAUGAUACACAAUUGGUGUAAUACAUGGCUUACACAUCUUUAUUUGAGGGAUGAUCUCUUUCAAUAUUUUGUUGUAUAACCCCCACAUUCACCACAGUACAAUGUUGCCCUUUCAUUGGUGCUCAAUAAAGGGAUAGUGCUGAACACAAGUUUAGAAUAAUUGUAUUAGCCAUUUUCAAAAUAGCCAGGCUGAAAAGUUCAGAGGUGAACACUUAGGAUGGAGUCUGGUUACAGCCAUAUUUGGAGCAUUUUAGGAGAAACUAACAAUGAAAGAUUAUGUUUACUGGUCUUCAUUUGCACCACUUCCAGUCUGAGCUACUGCCUCAGAAUACAGAGAGGAGAAAACAAGUCCCUACAGAUUUCGCACUGCAUUCUGUCACCUCUAAUAAAACAAAACAACCAACCAGAAAUAGAAUUAAUUCAAGCAAGCAGAGAUAGACAAUUAUUCCUCUAGAAGCAAGAGGUACAAGAGUCCAAGCCGGAAGAACAGGCAAAGGCUGCCCCUGAUGGGAAACCACUUAUACCUAUACUCUAUCAGCUGCGGGAACAGAGGGUAGAUUAACUUUGUUCUGAUGAAACAUAAAGGCCUUAACAUUACCCACUUAAUGACAGUUUAUGCUGUACUUCUUAGAGUCCUAGAAGCUAAGGCAAACUCAAUCUCUGGUGUCUAUACUUCCUAGAGUUCGGGAAGCAUCCACAAGUUGUCAUGGGAUAGAUAACAUAGCAAAUCCCUCUCAAUCUGCCUUAGAAUCUGUGCAGCUUGGGGGUUCCCAGAAAGCUGUUGCUUUUCCUGUCUGGCAAGUCCCAAAUGGAGUUUGUGAUGGUUUAGGGACAUUUCCUAAAGUCUUGCUAACUUUCCUGCAUUUCAAGGCAGAAUGGUUUGUCCAGGUUGUAUACUCACUGAUUGGUACUUUGGCCUUUUGCUCCCAGCUAUUCUUUAUGAUCUUUUUUAUCCCCCUUCUUUCCCUGGCUAAUGAAUACUAACUGAACUACUUCCCUUUAAUCAACUGUUCUCUAGAUUUACAUCUUUGAUUCUUUCCAAGGAAGAUGGUAACUUCAGAUCUGGAUCUUACCAGGGCUAGAGUACCACCGAUCAAUGGCAGGCUCCUUCCCAGCUUGGGUUCCCAUCAAGGUGGCAGUCCCACAUCCUGGAUGGCUGGCUUCUCUGCAAGUUGCCAACAAUGUUGAGUUUACUCUGUGCCUUUGGAAAUCAGGAGACAUCCAGAGGCAAUUGUAGCAUUUGCAAAGUUUGGAGAGAAGAUGGGGCUGCUAAGUGAAGGCUCUGUUUUUCCCAAGAGGUUAUCUAGGUCAAAUCUUCCAACAUCUGGACUUUUCCGACCCACUCACUUUUGUGGAUUUUGCAGAUAAAGCAAAUGUUUUCAAACCACAGACAAUUUGCCAAGUGUUGCUCCCAUGGACAGCCUCAGUGGGGCAAGGGACUCUUGUGACCCAAACCUGAUCAACUCUUAGGACCCAAACACAAAACAGACAAAACAUAAAACCCAAUGCUCGUGGGGAAUGAAGGGAAUCUUUUCAGUGGGAGAGAAGAACCAGGAACAGACAUUAAGUGUAGCCAGGAAUAACCAGACAAUUGCGAUUAUCAGCGUUUAGCACUAGUGGUGAUAAAUUUACACUUUUGCGGUUUAUAAAUAACAAUUCCACAGGAUCUUCAUCGAGCCCUUUUGAAAAAUUUCAGUGGCAACCAUGUCCCUAGCAUGCCAAACCCAGGGCUGUGUUAUCCUACAUAAGAAGGAUUUUCUUUGUGAAGGGAAAGCCUGAAACACAUGUCUGGAAGACGCAACUCAUCAGUUGGGGCAGUCCAACCACCCACACUGAAGCUGGGGGUCACCUCAAAUUAUAGAAAACUUCAUUCUCUUCAAACUACUAGACUAUGCUGCCUGGAGAGUAAGUUUACACAGCUCAGUGUCAAGCAAUUUGGUUAAGUCCAGAAAAUGGGCAGGAAAUGCCAGGGCUAGGCUGACAUGAGUGCUCUGAGCUACAGCAUCACUUUGAAUGGGACUAUUAUUUACUUUCUUACAUAAAUGUCAUGUGGCAAAAUCAUGCCUUAUACAAACCAGCUGAAGUGUGUGAUGUAACCAUGUUAACACGUUUUUAUAGUCUUGAAAGAACGCAACGGGAUUGGGUCUAUCAGUAAUCAUGUAAAGAAGCCGAGUAUACAUUCCAGAUGUUCAUUACAGCCCAAUCAUUCGCUGGGAGCAAAGUGGAGGCUUUCUCUUUGCUCAGGAAGUCUGAUUUUAGUAAUUGAGACAGAGACACACUUGAAAUCUGAUAUGUUUGGAAUUAUAAUGCUAAAUCCCAUAGUCCCAGUUAAGUAAGUGUGUGUGUGCAAAGCAAAACAAACAAGUGAAAAGCAGUGGGAAGAAAGAAAGAGAAAAAGGAAAGAAAGAACAAGUGAAGGCAAUACAAUGGGACUUUUUCAUCUGAGAGCUUUCUGUCCCAGUUCUGCCUCACAGCACCAUGCUUAUUUCUACUGUCCAACAGCCUUCGCUGGAAAGGUCUAGGGGCAUGGAAAGUGAAUGCAGAUGUAGAUCAGCUCAACUGUAUCACCGAGUAACUGACCUUUGAAAAAUCAGACCGUUCAGUGUCCUGCAUGAUCAGAAAAAGAAGCUUUUAUUUGUUGCAUUGCUUACAUUUCAAAAUCUCCUCCAAAAGGAAUUAGUUCUAAGCAACUUCUCAUGAGUCCUCUUAAAAUCUGUUUAGACUUUUUCACUAUAGAUGUCUGUUUCACAUGUUCAUAUGCUGGAGGGUAAUGUAUUGAAUCACACCGGCUUUUUUGUCGAAGUUCUUAUGGAAUCAACGCAACUCCCAAGCCCUUUGCAAUUCCACCUGAACUGAUCUUUGCAAAUAAGUGUACCUCAUAUUACACAACUCCUUCUGUCUCUCUGGCCGUAUUGGAUGACUUACUACACUCCAGACAUGCUUUGUCCUGCUUGUACCUUUAGCUCCUGCUGGAGUAUCUUCACCCCCACCUCAACCCUAGCCCUUUUGGCUGAAAAUUCCAGCACAUUUUCCACUUGUCCUCCUUCAAUGUGCCUGCCAUCUCUGCCUUACCCCCACCCCUGCACCACCUAGAAGUGAUGACUCAUCCCUGUGAACUCCAUGUCCCUUUGUCUUCUCCUCUUGUAUGCAUUUAUGUAUGCAUGUAGAUGUUCAUUCAUAUAUUUAUUCAUUCAUUCAUGGAAUAGGUAUUAAGCAUAAUGGCAACAUGCUAAGAAGUAGAAAUACAACCUAUAUUAUUUUGUCUAUGUUUUUCUACCCAGUACGUGGAUUAAUUAAUUACGGCACUGACCCACUUUGAAAAGAGGCCUCCUAGAAACACAAGGGGAAACUCUGCUGUGGGCACUAACUAUGGGCUUUCACUAAACAACAUGAACCCAGAGUAAUUUUUUUUAAAUUUAGGUAGAAAAUAGGCUGGACUCAAGAGACGGUAGAUAAUUUAAAGUUGAAAUAAGAUUAGAAACAUAAGAAUCUAGAGGUAGAUCUUAUAAAAAAUUGAACAUGUAAAAAUACCUGUUAUAGUAAUCAUGGUUUAAAGAAGCAAUAAUAAAAACUAAAAUCUCAAGUUGCCUCAAACCACUUAGCUGACAGAAUGAGCUUAGUACUACAAGCUGAAUCAAAUGUUCUUAUUCGAAAUUGUAGUUUCUAUGAAUUGAAAGCACAGAGGUAGGAAACAAAUAUCCAAAUGUUCUCGAAAAAUGAGAAAGCAAAUGGACUAAGAAUAAAUCUCAGUUAACCCGUCUAAAAGGUAGAGAUAAAGGUUUUGCUGUAUUUGCCAUGGGCCAGAUAACAUUUUGUCAUGCCUGCCUGGCGACAUUAUAACGAACGCAAGUAAGUCUUCCAAAGCAACCUCUGAAGUCUGAUGUCUACAUGGAACAGAUGACUCUCCUGUCUGGAUAUUUGCAUCUCAGUUGGUGCCCUCCUGACCAUGACCCCCAAGCCAAAAUCUCCAAGCCAAAAAGUCCCAGGAGCUCAAAAUCAGCCAUCCUGAACCACAUUCUCUUCUUGUGUUGGCAUCAGGCUUGUGAGCUCUGCCCCACCAGGACAGCGUUGGAUUCUAGAGAGGUAGCAGUUAUGGUUCUGAUUGAAUGCAGUGAGUAUUCAUGGAACCUCUGCUAUGCACCCAGCUCCUUUGGAAGGCACUGUAGGGACAUAAAGAAAUACAAGACAUGAUCUAUGACCUUGAGGAGCUUGCUAUCUUGUUUAAG
ensembl:lncRNA